rnacentral:rRNA from 1 species
GACGAACGCUGGCGGCGUGCUUAACACAUGCAAGUCGAACGGUGAAGCGCUUUCCUUUUUGGUUGGUGUGGAUGAGUGGCGAACGGGUGAGUAACACGUGAGUAACCUGCCCCCUUCUUCUGGAUAACCGCAUGAAAGUGUGGCUAAUACGGGAUAUUCUGCGCCUGCUGCAUGGUGGGUGUGGGAAAGAUUGUGCCUUUGGGUGUUUUCGGUGGGGGAUGGGCUCGCGGCCUAUCAGCUUGUUGGUGGGGUGAUGGCCUACCAAGGCGGUGACGGGUAGCCGGCCUGAGGGGGUGGACGGUCACACUGGGACUGAGACACGGCCCAGACUCCUACGGGAGGCAGCAGUGGGGGAUAUUGCACAAUGGGGGCAAGCCUGAUGCAGCGACGCCGCGUGAGGGAUGGAGGCCUUCGGGGUGUGAACCUCUUUCGCCAGUGAAGCAGGCCUGCUCCUUGUGGGUGGGUUGACGGUAGCUGGAUAAGAAGCGCCGGCUAACUACGUG